rnacentral:rRNA from 1 species
AUUGAACGCUAGCGGGAUGCCUUACACAUGCAAGUCGAACGUAGUGGCGAACGGGGGAGUAAUGUCUCGGAACAUGCCCAGUAGCGGGGGAUAACUACGCGAAAGCGUAGCUAAUACCGCAUACUAUUGGAGCGGCAGAAAUCGGAUUAGCUAGUUGGUGGGGUAACGGCCUACCAAGGCGACGAUCCGUAGCUGGUUUGAGAGGACGACCAGCCAGACUGGGACUGAGACACGGCCCAGACUCCUACGUGAGGCAGCAGUGGGGAAUUUUGGACAAUUGGGUAAACCCUGAUCCAGCCAUCCCGCGUGUGUGAUGAAGGCCUUCGGGUUGUAAAGCACUUUUGGCAGGAAAGCGGUACCUGCAGAAUAAGCACCGGCUAACUACGGGCCAGCAGCCGCGGUAAUAC